UGACGGGUUGUUGGGAUUGGCCGAGAUGGGCUCGCCUGCUCCUAUAAAUACCGGUGGAGACCCCCCUCCUAUUGCAUCUGCUUGACCACCAGCAACAAGAACGCCAUCGCCGAGAGCAUCGAGUGUGCAGGAAGGAGAAGAAAGAGAGAGCAGACACCAUAGGGCGCCCUUUUUCCCCUCGACACUCGACGCCGCGUCUUCUCUGUUCCCUGCCAUGGCGCCACCUGUGUAGUCGGCAGCGGUCGUCGCGGCACCAAAUCGCUACGGUGAGGUCACGAGAAU
rnacentral:lncRNA from 7 species